CUUAACCAUUUGUGCUGAAUCAU
rnacentral:siRNA from 1 species